rnacentral:rRNA from 1 species
CAUGCAAGUCGAACGGAUCAAAUUGUAGCAAUACCGUUUUGGUCAGUGGCGCACGGGUGCGUAACACGUGAGUUACAUGCCCUGCAGUGGGGAAUAGCCCGCCGAAAGGCGGAUUAAUACCCCAUGGUCCCGCAAGGGUAAAGGUGGCCGCAAGGCUGCCGCUGCAGGAUUGGCUCGCGGCCUAUCAGCUAGUUGGCGGGGUAACGGCCCACCAAGGCGACGACGGGUACCUGGUCUGAGAGGAUGAUCAGGCACACUGGAACUGAGACACGGUCCAGACACCUACGGGUGGCAGCAGUCGAGAAUAAUUCACAAUGGGGGAAACCCUGAUGGUGCAACGCCGCGUGGAGGAUGAAGGUCUUCGGAUUGUAAACUCCUGUCAUUGGAGAGUAAGACCUGGCGGUCAAUAGCCGACAGGGUUGAUAGUAUCCAAAGAGGAAGGGACGGCUAACUUCGUGCCAGCAGCCGCGGUAAUACGAAGGUCCCAAGCGUUGUUCGGAAUCACUGGGCGUAAAGGGAGCGUAGGCGGCGUGGUAAGUCAGAUGUGAAAUCCCGGGGCUCAACCCCGGAACUGCAUCCGAUACUGCCGUGCUUGAGGGUUGGAGAGGUAGCUGGAAUUAUCGGUGUAGCAGUGAAAUGCGUGGAUAUCGAUAGGAACACUCGUGGC